UUGUUCGUACCCCAAAGUGAAAAUAACGUUACGUCAUUGGUUGAAUUUCGAUUGUUUAGGACGUUUUAAACCAAUCACCACGCUUUGGUGUACACUUUUGAAAAUAUUACCCAGGAUGCAUUAGAUUCUGAAACGGCGAAAUGUCAACGAAACAAAUAUUCACCAAGGACCGAAUGUCGUUCAUGUAUGCACCUAAUAAUAUUGUGACCUUCAACUUGGAGCCUGGGCUUACAUCGCUUUGUAAGCU
rnacentral:lncRNA from 1 species